rnacentral:lncRNA from 1 species
UAGCUGUUUUUAGGCUGUCAUGGCAACAACAGCCAGUGUGAAACUUCACAGAAAAAGAAGAACAGCCAGUAUGUGUGAGAAUUUCAUGGGAAGGACAUGGGGAGCUAAUAGUAGCUAGCUAAUAUGGCUAAUUGGCUAUUAUAUGUAUCAAGCUACUGGUAGGUUAGAUAGCUAGCCAGUAGCUAUCUGGCUAGCUGGCUAAGAAGAGGCACUACUGGCUAACAUUACUGGCUAACGUUAGCUAUGCUAGCCAACUGGUACUGGCUAGCAUAGCUAGCUAGCUACCUUCACAACAAGACACCAUCGUGGAACACCUUCUUGUAAUUUCACAUUUGGAAGGUGGAUAACUAACAAUUAGCUGGAUUACUAGCUUGCAUGGUUAUUUAUUUUCUAUCAGAUAGCUUGCAAACAAUGAUACACUAAAGUUACUCUAGAGGGGAUCACUAAUGGUAUGUAGCUAUUCAAAAAACAAAGGACUUAUCUGAAAGCAUUUCAUCAGGCUAUAUAGUGUAACGUCACAUGUACAAUAUAAUAUUUUGUUUCCUAUUUUGGCCAGCUCUCGCACUGUGUGUGUGAGUGUCUCUCUCGCAUGUCUGUGUGUCCCCCUGUCUGUUUAGGAGUUCCAGAUGUGGCUGCAGGAGAGUAGUGGCAGAGAACACUGCAGGGCAUUUUCUCUGAGCAAUGAUAUGAAAUGUAGGACAUGUACAAGUAAGUAUCCCAUAUCAGAUACUACUACUUGGAUAGGUAAGAGGCAGAAGUUGCAAACAUAGAGGUAGAUACUGUGUACAGUAUGCUUGCAACUUUAACAGUAGUCAGUCAAGGAACAGCUUUGCUGCUCAAGAAAAUAUGGUGUCACAGUACUGAAGGGGAAGAGCAGGCAGGUGAACUUCCUAUCUCUUGUGGGUAUACCCUGAUGGUGCCAUGACAAACAGUUGAAGUUGGAAGUUUACAUACACUUAGGUUGGAGUCAUUAAAACUAGUUUUUCAACCACUCCACAAAUUUCUUGUUAACAAACUAUAGCUUCGGCAAGUCGGUUAGGACAUCUACUUUGUGCAUGACACAGACUUUUUUUUCCAAAAAUUGUUUACAGACAGAUUAUUUCACUUAUAAUUCACUGUAUCACAAUUCCAGUGGGUCAGAAGUUUACAUACACUAAAUUGACUGUGCCUUUAAACAGCUUGGAAAAUUCCAGAAAAUGAUGUCAUGGCUUUAGAAGCUUCUGAUAGGCUAAUUGACAUCAUUUGAGUCAAUUGGAGGUGUACCUGUGGAUGUAUUUCAAGGCCUACCUUCAAACUCAGUGCCUCUUUGCUUGAUAUCAUGAGAAAAUCAAAAAAUCAGCCAAGACCUCAGAAAAACAAUUGUAGACCUCCACAAGUCUGGUUCAUCCUUGGGAGCAAUUUCCAAAUGCCUGAAGAUAUCACGUUCAUCUGUAUAAACAAAGGUACGCAAGUAUAAACACCAUGGGACCACGCAGCUGUCAUACCACUCAGGAAGGAGAUGCGUUCUGUCUCCUAGAGAUGAACGUACUUUGGAAAAGUACGAAAAGUGAAAAUCAAUCCCAGAACAACAGCAAAGGAUCUUGUGAAGAUGCUGGAGGAAACGGGUACAAAAGUAUCUAUAUCCACAGUAAAACGAGUCCUAUAUCGACAUAACCUGAAAGGUCGCUCAGCAAGAAGCCAUUGCUCCAAAAAAAAAAACUACGGUUUGCAACUGCACAUGGGGAUCGUACUUUUUGGAGAAAUGUCCUCUGGUCUGAUGAAACAAAAAUUGAACUGUUUGGCCAUAAUGACCAUCAUUAUGUUUGGAGGGAAAAGGGGGAGGCUUGCAAGCCGAAGAACACCAUCUAAACCGUGAAGCACGGGUGUGGCAGCAUCAUGUUGUGGGGGUGCUUUGCUGCAGGAGGGACUGGUGUACGUCACAAAAUAGAUGGCAUCAUGAGGAAGUAAAAUGAUGUGGAUAUAUUGAAGCAACAUCUCAAGACAUCAGUCAGGAAGUUAAAGCUUGGUCGCAAAUGGGUCUUCCAAAUGAACAAUGACCCCAAGCAUACUUCCAAAGUUGUGGAAAAAUGGCUUAAGGACAACAAAGUCAAGGUAUUGGGCCAUCACAAAUCCCUGACCUCAUUCCUAUAGAAAAUUUGUGGGCAGAACUGAAAAGCGUGUGCGAGCAAGGAGGCCUGACUCAGUUACACCAGCUCUGUCAGGAGGAAUGUGCCAAAAUUCACCCAACUUAUUGUGGGAAGCUUGUGGAAGGCUACCCGAAACGUUUGACCCAAGUUAAACAAUUUAAAGGCAAUGCUACCAAAUACUAAUUGAGUGUAUGUAAACUUCUGACCCACUGGGAAUGUGAUGAAAUAAAUAAAAGCUGAAAAAAAUCAUUCUCUCUACUAUUAUUCUGACAUUUCACAUUCUUAAAAUAAAGUGGUGAUCCUAACUGACCUAAGACAGGGAAUUUUUACUUGGAUUAAAUGUCAGGAAUUGUGAAAAACUGAGUUUAAAUGUAUUUGGCUAAGAUGUAUGUAAACUUCUGACUUCAACUGUAUAUGACAACCAGCAGUUUUUGUAAAGGCUGUUGGCCAAAGGGUUCCCUCUCACUCCACACACACAGUCACUGUGUCAAAAUAAAUAUACACUGAAUUAGGGCUGGGCGAUAAAUCAAUAUCAAUAAUUAUCGAGGUAAUUACUUCCCUCAAUUACGAUAUAAAAAUGUUUAUAUACAUUUUCGAUAAUGUCGCUGUAGAAUAAUUAGGUACAGCAGUCCAUUUCACCACUGUGACGCAGCAAGAACGCGCGGAGAAGUGACAAUAUGCACGUGGAGAGGUAUACGCCCACUUAAAACCACUUAGCACCUGGGGUGAUGGAGUAGCCACUAUUAAGCACGGAAAAUUAGUGAUGUAGGCGAAAACAGUGGCAGUGAUAGACAUGGAGAAGGAGCAGCUUCCAACCAAUAAAUUAUUGAUAAAAAGGGUUCAACUGUUUCAGUUAUUUGGAAGUGGUUUGGCUUUUUGAAGUCCGACAAAGAGCAGAGCAAUGUUCGGUGCAAAUUGUGCCGUAGACAGGUGGCUACCAAGUCUGGUAAUACGACAAACCUUUUUCACCAUCUGAAGCAAAAUCCCUCUUUGGAACAUGCAGAAAGUUUGAGUUUGCACCACGGUAUUGAUAAAUGCCCCUCAAGCACCAGCCAAUCUAGGGAUGUUCGCCCGAAGCAGUCAACACUGACAACAUUUUUACGUUUAUGCAAAACAGACUGGUGCGAACGUGGUGAAGGCCGCUCAAAUUAACAAAUGGACCCGACUGCAAUGUUUUGGACAUCGUCUGCACUUGGCCAAUGAGAGAGUAGGUAGAGACAAAUGGGUGGAUCGAGCAAUUGGAGUGUGUAAGAAAGUGGUAGGUGCCUUUUCCUAUUGGUGGAAAAAGAAGAGGGACCUGGCAGUUGUUCAAAAAGAACACAACCUACCCCAGGGCAAGUUGGUGACAGAGUCGCCUACAAGGUGGGGAUCACGUCAAAAGAUGGUGCAAAGAGUAAUGGAGCAGGAGAAAGCCAUUUCACAGGUCAUGUCCAGUGACAAGAAGACCCGGCACUUACCUCCCACCUAUACAGAUAUAGAUGUUCUUGAGUCCAUCAACCAGGCAUUGACCCCACUCCUAGUCUUAUGUCAGUGUGUCUUACCUGAAGCCAGUACUACACCUGUUCAAUACAGAGGUCAUGAAACCUGAUGAUGGUGAAACAGAGCUCACCCAAACCAUCAAAACGGUAGUCAUGGACUAUCUGAAUGAGAAAUAUGAUGACCUAGCCACAGAUGACCUCCUGGACACAGCAUCGUUAGUCGACCCUGGGUUAAAACACAUUACAUCAAAGAGGAGAAGGUGGGCCACAUAAAAGCAAGAGCUGUCUCAGAGAUGGUCAGUGACGGAGAUGAAAACCCAAGCCCAGCACAGGGAGACGUUGCUGCUGCUGCUUCACCACAAAUGCCAGCUAAAAAGAGAAAGUCACUGGGCAGUUUUUUCAAAAAACCAUGCUCCACCACCACAGGUCUUACUGAAAUCCAGCUGGUAGAAAAGGGACUCAGCUGCUACCUUCAGUCUCCUGAUGCUGACGGUGAAACCAAUCCACUGGACUGGCGGAAGAUCCACCCAAAAAACUUUCCCGAAGUCAGCCACCUGGCAAAGCGCUACCUGUGCAUUCCUGCGACCAGCUCCCCCUCAGAGUGUGUUUUUAGCACAGGUGGCAACAUAGUGACCUGCCAUAGGGCAGCUUUAAAGCCGGAGACAGUAGACAGACUUGUCUUUCUUGCUUGUAACUUGUAAGACAACAACGACUGGCUGAUGUUUUGGUCACUUUUGAAUGCUGGCGGUGCUUUCACUCUAGUGGUAGCAUGAGACGGAGUCUACAACCCACACAAGUGGCUCAGGUAGUGCAGCUCAUCCAGG